rnacentral:lncRNA from 1 species
AUAUGUAUUCAUUUCCUACCACAGUAGUGGAAGAGAGACUAUCACUGUCUUUAACAUUUCCAACAGUAAGCCAUGAGAUUCUGCUUGAAAUCACCUCUCAAACAAAUAAAAAACAGAACUGGGAAAGAUACUAUGCUCAUUCUGUUAAAGAAAUAGGGCAAGAAAGCUUUCUAAGACCCCGAACUCCAGAUAUGCGAUGGGGCAAAUCCUGAAGUGUACAUGGCUAUCUCUCACAGCUAAAGCAUCCCUCACCCCUAUCCAGCGCUUCUUACCCCUGGCGCAAGAGAAUCACCUGCGGGGAGGAAAACUUUCAAAAUCCCUUAAACUGAAGUUGUAACCGCUCAAUUAAAUCAGAAUCCUUGGAGCUGGAUCUGAAAAAAAAUAUGGUUGAAAGUUGUGCAGGUGAUUACAAUGUGUAGGCAAGC